CGACAAUAGCAAGUGGGAACCACCUGAUUCCAUCCCGAACUCAGUAGUGAAACCACUUAGCGCCGAUGGUAGUGUGGCGUUUCGCCAUGUGAGAGUAGGUCAUUGUCA
rnacentral:rRNA from 1 species